rnacentral:rRNA from 1 species
GGAUGAACGCUGGCGGCGUGCUUAACACAUGCAAGUCGAACGAUGAAGCCCAGCUUGCUGGGUGGAUUAGUGGCGAACGGGUGAGUAACACGUGAGUAACCUGCCCUUAACUCUGGGAUAAGCCUGGGAAACUAGGUCUAAUACCGGAUAGGAGCGCCUACCGCAUGGUGGGUGUUGGAAAGAUUUAUCGGUUUUGGAUGGACUCGCGGCCUAUCAGCUUGUUGGUGAGGUAAUGGCUCACCAAGGCGACGACGGGUAGCCGGCCUGAGAGGGUGACCGGCCACACUGGGACUGAGACACGGCCCAGACUCCUACGGGAGGCAGCAGUGGGGAAUAUUGCACAAUGGGCGAAAGCCUGAUGCAGCGACGCCGCGUGAGGGAUGACGGCCUUCGGGUUGUAAACCUCUUUCAGUAGGGAAGAAGCGAAAGUGACGGUACCUGCAGAAGAAGCACCGGCUAACUAC